CCGCCUCACCGUGCGCCACCCGCCGCCGCCGCCACCUCCUGCCCCGCCCCGCGACCCCUGCCGCCGCCACCUCCCGUCCCGCCCCGCCGCGCGCCACCCCUCUUCUCCAUCUCUCCCUCUCCAUCUCCCUCCUCCCUCCCUGUUCCACCCCACCCCUAGUCCCAGCAGGCUCAACCAUGGUGGUCAACACGGGGACGUGAGUGUGCACGGGCGGCGUCGGUGGACGAGAUAUGCCAAACUAAAGGAGGCGGCUAGAGGAAGCAUUGGAGGCCAAGUUCGGCAGCAACGGUCAGCUGUCGUCGGUGGCCGGCCGGCGACAUUUGCAAAGGAAUGAGGGUGGCCGAAGACCGACAACAGGGGGCUGUCGAACUAGCCAAGGUACCAUCACUCCAUCAUCUUCGGAGAUCGUUCGGUGAUGUCCAAUGCAUCAUGUCAUGGAGUGGAGGCGCGGACUGCCCUGCGCAAGUAGGUUAUGUGCUUGAGACGAUUGAAUGUCCGAUAAUAUGAUAAACCUUCAGCGAACAGCGGCUCCAAACUCCAUCGCCUGAUCUCAAAGAUAGCUCUAUUAAAUCACUUGAUGAUAUAACAGGACAUUGGCAGGAAUUCCUGAUGACUGAGGAAAUUAUGGCAGACAUUCUUGCCGGUACAUUAAAUCUUGGUUUGAUGGGUACUUUUCUGAAGAAACUAUUGAGUCCCAGGCGGAUCAACUUAUUUUCACGUCAGGUUUUAGGUGUUUCCCAGCUAGGCAGCGAUUUCUUCUUCAGAAGACCACAUCGCGGGCAUUAUCUUAAGUGGACCAUUGAACUGCAAUUUUUUCCUUUCGCAUGUACAUGCUUAUUAUGUGUGGAUUUUGAAAGCUAUUUCUACAUAUUCUAUGUCCUUUGAGACUAAACUGUGUAGUUACUCUGCAUCAGUUCACCUGCUCAAUAAUUGUGCUAGAGGAGUUAGUCAUAGUAUGUCCAGAAAUCCCUUGGAGCACUACUCCAGGUAACAUUGUUAUGUUGUCUUUGCUAGAAAACUGUAUAUGUAGUCUAGAAUUGGGUGUACAUGUUGGUUCGGUCCAUGGACGUUUUCUUUGAGAUUCACUUAUGGACCUUGCAGUAAUGUACUCCCUCAGUAAACAAAUAUAAGACAUUUUAGGUCACUAAAGUAGUUACCUGAAAUAUCUUAUAUUACAUAAUAGAGGGAGUAUUAAUUUUUGUUUUGAUGCAUUUUAAAUUAAACUUCAAAGUGUCUAUUUGAAUUUUGAGCUGAAUCUAAACCAUGGUUUGCAUUCAGCUAUAUUUCUAAAACAUUGUACGAAGUCCUAUUUUUAGGAUGCCAAGUUUCUUCUUUCCUGUAGGAAAUUUUGGCCCUAUAUAUUCUAAUUUUUUGUCAUAUUCAGUUUUAAUGGUCGGAAAGAAACAAUGUUAUUUUUUAUUAUCAAAUGGAGUCAAGUUGCUAUUCUGUAAUUUACAAAGACGUAAGGAAGUGUUAUUUUUGUGUCUCAUUGCUUAUGCCUUUUAUAUUUAGAGGAUAUUAUGGAUGGGAACUGGCUUAUGUCCAGUAAUGGUAACAGAGUGUUCCCAUUGUAGAUUUCCAUUGUGUGUUAGAAAAGGUAUGCACCUGGAAUUAUAGGCCUUGCCCAGCUGUUAAAUUUUUAUAUGUAGUUUCUUUUUUUCACUAGAGAUAUUUAGUUUGUUUAUGACAACUAGAGAAGGAUGAUGAGGCAGACAAACGACUGAAAUAUUGAUUAAUUGUAAUGAUUAAUGCAUUUACAUUUAUGAGUUUUCCACCACUUUUCGACUAUCUCUAAUAAUGAUGGUUUGUCUAUUUUCACUUCUCGAUUUUACCUACUAAAUGGAUUUUUGGUCUACAAUUCGGUACAUAUAUAUAACUUUCCCCAAUACCGAAAGUCAACAGUCAUACUUAAAUAACCUUUCACAACCCUUUCUUUAACCCUUAUGCUUUUUUGUUUCUAUUCUACUUGGAACAGAGGAAAAUGCCCUUAUGGACCUUUUGAGCUUUUUUGUACAGUGAAAGUUAACAAACAACCGAGCCUGCUAUUCUGGUUGACAUCUUAAUGGAUGCCGAUAAAUUUGAGGUUCUCUCUUGCAUGAGGCAUUGUAGCCAGUUUCUCACAAGCUUUCAUAUGACCACAGAAUCUGCGCUGCUCUACCUAGACUAUCCAUGCUACACUUCGAUGGCAGUUGAAGUUCACCAUUUGAUAGUUGCAGCUAAGGAUUUCCUUGCCAACAAAUACAGUGAUGUGCAUAAGUGUGUGAUCCCCAUUGGAUGGAGCCACCAUUUCUUUCUUUUCAUACAGAAGUGUACACAUUGUUGAAGCAAAAUCAUGUAUGAAGUGUACUCAAGGCUUGGUUUGUAUUAUUUCAGGUUCCGAAAUGAAGUGAUGAACAUGCCACUUGCUGGGAUUGAAGCCAUAUUCUCAAGUACCGACCUACAUGUGAAAAAAUGAAGAUGUCUUAUACCGUCUAUUGCUCAACUAGGCCCGUGUGCAAUACCAGAAUUAGAAGAAAGACAUAAGAUCUUGAGUUCUCAUUUGGUUCUGCUGGUGCGCUUCAGUCAUAUGACUUGUGAGACACUUCAGGAGAUUUUCACAUGCACUGACGAUGACAUAGACCAUGAGCAAAGCUUAUCACUGGGGUACUUAUGUGCAAAGCUUAUCCAGCACACAAACCAGGCCAGGUGCUCUUGCAGCAUGUGCAACCUCUUGUUUGCUAUAUGCAGAGCUAGCUUACAAGUAGAGGCAUCUGAAAGUGGUUCUGUUUGAGACCGCAACGAGAUGGAGGUGGUGGUCUCGACACCCAUGCUGGAGACUAUCUGGUGGUACAAUUGCUAUCAAAUGUAGCUUGGUUUGUGUGUGCAUCUCCUAGCUUUUGUGUCUGUGUGUAGUGUUAUUGGUUAAUUAUGAUGUGUCCUUAGUGAUCUCAAGUCUCAAUAGUAUGUGAAUGGGUGUAAUCAGAACAAACAUGUUUAUCUUAUUUGUGGUAGGAAAUGGUGUAUAUUUGUUUCGUCUUAGGAGACAGGCUGAUGGGUCUGCUUGAACUUGCUCGUGUGGAGAAAACACAACCUGAAGAGCUUUGCUUUUGAUCAAA